AUAUAUAUAUAUCCCAACAAGAAAACCAUUUAUAAGCUAUCUGACAUGAACUAUUUCCCACCAUCUUUAUCUUCUCCUAGUUAUAUUUAUGCCUCAAGGUCUUUGUUUAUUGCAAUGCACAAUCCUGUUCUGUUAGGUGCACUCAAAUUUUUGUGCAAUCAUUACUUAUGGAAAGUGUUUUUCUCAUAUCUGUCUUAAAAACGCAAGAUGAAAAUGGUGAAUUCGAGCAUGUAGAGUUGAGAGUCUUGAGGUCCAAUAACUGUCAACUGGAAAGUAUGCUGUCUGUUGGGGAGAAAUCCCCAUAUUGGUGACAAUGACUUUGCAUUGAAAAUAAAAAGGCCCUGGAAGACAAGUGUAAUGCAUUGAGGUCUGUGAAAGCAACCAAAGAAGCAAAAGUCAAACAGCUGAAGGACAAAGCAGGCAUCCUUGAAGAAUUCUAUGAAGAAAGAAAAGUGGCUAUAGAAGACUAAAAUGUUCAGGAAGCUGAAAAUGACACAGUGUGAACUGGCGGCAAAGAAGAAUCAGCUGGCAGCUGCAGGGAAAAUGUGAAAAUAGCCAUGAAAGAAAUAAACAAGUACAAGCAACAAAAUGAACAAAGACAAGAACAGCUGCAGCAGGCAGAACUCACCUUCAGACACCAGAUCGCAGUUCAUGAGAAUAAUGCUCAGGACAACUGGAUCAAGCCUCAGAUCUGGGAGAGGGAAAUGGCAGAGCAGAGCCGGGAGGUCGCCCGCUUGAAACACAGACUGGAUGUGAUGGAAGGAAAGAGGCUGCUUGAGGGAUACAGGAGGCGGAGAACAAUGCCUGGAAGUCCAGAGACGCAGAACCCUCCGAGGAGAGGGUCCUUAGCAGAUCCAGAAACUGGUGCAACCUCUGUGAGUUACACCAGCUCUGACUGUACAAAGAAUGUAGACAUGGACAAGGUAAAUCCUGGGACCAUUCUCAGUCGUAACACUUUCGGGAAACCCUCAUCUCUCUGUACAGCACGCUCUCCUGGCCUAGUCUCGUUUUGUGUGUUGUGUGAUAUGUCUGCUUGUUAUUUGUUUUCCAAAUGCACACUCUUAACCUAGGAGCCUACAAGCUUCUCUAUUUUCAGCCUGUCAUCUUUUUGUGGUAAGUUUAGAAGCCCAAAGGGCUUAGAGGCUGAGUACCCUAAAACUUUACCAUGUGUUUCUGGAAAUAACGAGAGGAGGAUGACCCCACAUUCCAAACAGACGUCUCCUGGCCUGGGUCACCCCUUCCAGACCUCAACUCUGUGGGAACAGUGUGGCUGCUGUGUCUUCCUUUCUUGAUUCUGGCUAGGAGAUUAACCUGCUAGAAAGUCUACCAUAUUGUUUAAAAUUGAAAAAUGCGAAACCCCAUCAUUACUCCAACUUUUUAUUUUGAGCCCUGUGCAAUUUAAAAAUUUUUUUAAUGUUUUUUAUUUCUGAGACAGAGAGAGACAGAGCAUGAGUGGGGAAGGAGCAGGGAGAGAGGGAGACACAGAAUCAGAAGCAGGCUCCAGGCUCUAACCUAUCAGCACAGAGCCUGACGUGGGGCUUGAACUCACAAACCGUGAGAUCAUGACCUGAGCUGAAGUCGGUCACUCAACCAACUGAGCCACCCAGGUGUCCCUGUGCCCUGUGCGAUUCAGAGUGGUCUUAGACAAAGUCAUUAUCAUCACUCAUCACCUUCCCGUCUUUGUUGGUAAAUGAGUUGUCUGGAAUCCUUCCAGCUAUAACUUAGGUAAAAAUAACCAGAACAUUGUGUCCUUCGAUUGUGUUCAUAUGAGCAGUUUCUGGUUGUGUCCCCAGUCACUGUUAGAGCUGAUACAGUCUCAUGACACAUCCCAUGAGUUUUAUACCAGAAAUCAAGACACACUUGAAUUAAUUCUGUCAUGUGAAUUUUUACCUCUUGUUUUCUGUAGGAUUUAAUUACUCUGUGUCCUAUAGUAUGCUUCAAGUCAGAAUUCCCUAUGAAUUAAGAUGAACACAUCUGACCUUUGGAGACAUUCACCACAAGUCACUUGUUCUUUACAGAAGACUCUCAUUCCCCUGCAAGAUCCCAGGCAUC
ensembl:lncRNA